GCUCCCAUGGCGUAGUCACUGCGCUCGCCUUGCACGCGGGAGACCCGGGUUCGAUUCCCGGCGGGGUCA
rnacentral:tRNA from 1 species